UACGUAGGUGGCAAGCGUUAUCCGGAUUUACUGGGUGUAAAGGGCGUGUAGGCGGGAAAGCAAGUCAGAUGUGAAAACCACGGGCUCAGCCUGUGGCCUGCAUUUGAAACUGUUUUUCUUGAGUACUGGAGAGGCAGACGGGAUUCCUCGUGUAGCGGUGAAAUGCGUAGAUAUGAGGAGGAACACCAGUGGCGAAGGCGGUCUGCUGGACAGCAACUGACGCUGAGGCGCGAAAGCGUGGGGAGCAAACAGG
rnacentral:rRNA from 1 species